GACGGAGGGGGCUAGCGUUGUUCGGAAUUACUGGGCGUAAAGAGCGCGUAGGCGGUUUAAUAAGUUGGAAGUGAAAUCCCGGAGCUUAACUUCGGAAUUGCUUUCAAAACUAUUUGACUAGAGUACGGUAGGGGGUGAUGGAAUUCCAAGUGUAGAGGUGAAAUUCUUAGAUAUUUGGAGGAACACCGGUGGCGAAGGCGGUCGCCUGGGCCGGUACUGACGCUGAGGCGCGAAAGCGUGGGGAGCAAACAGG
rnacentral:rRNA from 1 species